GGUGGUGAGUUUUUAGCCACACAUGCGGUGCGCAGAAUAAUGCGUUUUGCCGUAACGUGGCCCUGAUCAGUGGAAGGGAAAAGAGGAACUCUUUCCAUUGAACUUUCCCCCAUGUUCCCCCUUUGGGAGUCAGCAAUAUCUUAUGUCAUCAUAACGCUCCUCCCCAACCACACACGCCAACAUCAUUCUCACAACACACACACACAUUAUGUGACGAUUGGGGCGGCAUCAUCACCUCCCUCUUUGCAUCACAAAUCGAAUGGCACGCGACUGCAUAAGUGGCGCUGCACUCACUAUUAAAUCAAGUGCAGCACAGGUUGCAACAAUCGGAAUGUGCUGCCACAUUGCACACAGCAUCGAAAACAAAGCGCAGAUAGGAAUACUGACGGCCACCCAUUCAAGCAAAAGGCGGCAAAAGGCCGGCCGCCGGACAAAAGAACCAAUGCGAAAAAAGAGCGCGAUGAAAUAAUGCGUUAAUUACAAAGCUGCCGGGGGAAUGAAUGAAUGAAUGAGACCUGUUCACACGCUGCCAGCUGAGCCGGUAUCGGUGCUCGGGGUAAAUAGAUUUCUUCUGCAGUGCAAGCCACCGACAUCAGGAGCAACAACACACAGAAGCCACCGUCGUAAAAGAACACCCCCCAAACGAUGGCCUUCCCACACCCCCAGAAGACUCUCACACACAGAGUGUGUCUGGGGCGAGGAGCAAGCGAUAGUAGUAGCAGCAGUAGCCGCGGCAAGAAACAAAUUAAACGAUAAUAGAACGCCAAACAAAUGGUUUGCGCGAACCACCACUAA